rnacentral:RNase_P_RNA from 1 species
AGAGCAAACCGGAUGGUCGCUGCACAGGAAUAAAUCCAGAGUUUGCAUCUAAUGCAAAUUCUGGGUUUAAGUGUGUAGAGGAAAGUCCGAGCUCCACAGGGCAGCGUAAUGGGUAAUUCCCAUCCUUUCAUUUUUUAAAUGGGAGCGGAUUAGAGCAGCAGUGACGAUACCCGCUUUGGCGGGGGUGAAACGAGGCAAUCUCUGCGUGGAGCAAGACCGAAUAGGAGGAGGGUGGCCCGCCUGUUAUUCCUCGGGUUAGGUCGCAAAGAUUCCCUAGAGUAAUUUAGGGAACAAGAUGAAUGAUCGUCACCUCAUUUUAAGAUGAGGCACAGAACUCGGCUUAUAGGUUUGCUCUCUUU